rnacentral:rRNA from 1 species
GAUGAGCGCUAGCGACAGGCUUAACACAUGCAAGUCGAGGGGCGAGCGAGGGCGUAGCAAUACGCCUGUCGGCGACCGGCGCACUGGUGAGUAACACGUAUGCGACCUGCCCCCUACAGGGGUAUAACCCGUAGAAAUGCGGACUAAUCCCCCAUAGUCCCGCGGGCUGCAUGGCCUGCGGGGGAAAGGUCAGCCGGUAGGGGAUGGGCAUGCGGCGCAUUAGCUAGUUGGCGGGGCAACGGCCCACCAAGGCGACGAUGCGUAGGGGUUCUGAGAGGAAGGUCCCCCACACUGGUACUGAGACACGGACCAGACUCCUACGGGAGGCAGCAGUGAGGAAUAUUGGUCAAUGGGGCGCAGGCCUGAACCAGCCAAGUCGCGUGAGGGAGGAACGGUCCUACGGAUUGUAAAACCUCUUUUGUCGGGAGUAACGUGCGGGAUGCGUCCCGUAUUGAGAGUACCCGAAGAAAAAGCAUCGGCUAAACUCCGUGCCAGCCGCCGCAGUAG